rnacentral:rRNA from 1 species
UACAGAGGUCUCAAGCGUUGUUCGGAUUCAUUGGGCGUAAAGGGCGCGUAGGCGGCGGGGUAAGUCGGGUGUGAAAUCUCAGAGCUCAACUCUGAAACUGCACUCGAUACUGCUCUGCUUGAGGACUGGAGAGGAGACUGGAAUUCCCGGUGUAGUGGUGGAAUGCGUAGAUAUCGGGAGGAACACCAGUGGCGAAGGCGGUUGCCUGGAGCUUUGCUGACGCUGAUGCGCGAAAGCGUGGGGAGCGAUCCGG